rnacentral:rRNA from 1 species
CCUACGGGAGGCUGCAGUGGGGAAUAUUGGACAAUGGAGGGAACCCUGAUCCAGCCAUGCCGCGUGUGUGAAGAAGGCCCUCGGGUUGUAAAGCACUUUCAGUGAGGAAGAACGCCUGGUGGUUAAUACCCAUCAGGAAAGACAUCACUCACAGAAGAAGCACCGGCUAACUCCGUGCCAGCAGCCGCGGUAAUACGGAGGGUGCGAGCGUUAAUCGGAAUUACUGGGCGUAAAGCGCGCGUAGGUGGCUUGAUAAGCCGGUUGUGAAAGCCCCGGGCUCAACCUGGGAACGGCAUCCGGAACUGUCAAGCUAGAGUGCAGGAGAGGAAGGUAGAAUUCCCGGUGUAGCGGUGAAAUGCGUAGAGAUCGGGAGGAAUACCAGUGGCGAAGGCGGCCUUCUGGACUGACACUGACACUGAGGUGCGAAAGCGUGGGUAGCAAACAGGAUUAGAUACCCCGGUAGUC